rnacentral:rRNA from 1 species
UUCGUCCAAUUGAAACAGAGGACAGUGGCGGACGGGUGAGUAACGCGUGGAUAACCUGCCUCAUACAGGGGGAUAACAGUUAGAAAUGACUGCUAAUACCGCAUAAGCGCACGGGAACGCAUGUUUCUGUGUGAAAAGCCGAGACGGUAUGAGAUGGAUCCGCGUCUGAUUAGCUAGUUGGUGAGGUAACGGCCCACCAAGGCGACGAUCAGUAGCCGACCUGAGAGGGUGACCGGCCACAUUGGGACUGAGACACGGCCCAAACUCC